rnacentral:rRNA from 1 species
CCUACGGGGGGCAGCAGUGAGGAAUAUUGGUCAAUGGGCGCGAGCCUGAACCAGCCAAGUAGCGUGAAGGAUGACUGCCCUACGGGUUGUAAACUUCUUUUAUAAAGGAAUAAAGUGAGGCACGUGUGCCUUUUUGUAUGUACUUUAUGAAUAAGGAUCGGCUAACUCCGUGCCAGCAGCCGCGGUAAUACGGAGGAUCCGAGCGUUAUCCGGAUUUAUUGGGUUUAAAGGGAGCGUAGAUGGGUUGUUAAGUCAGUGGUGAAAGUUUGCGGCUCAACCGCAAAAGUGCAAUUGAUACUGGUAGACUUGAGAACAGUUGAGGUAGGCGGAAUGCGUGGUGUAGCGGUGAAAUGCUUAGAGAUCACGAAGAACACCGAUUGCGAAGGCAGCCUACUAAACUGCAACUGACAUUGAUGCUCGAAAGUGUGGGUAUCAAACAGGAUUAGAUACCCCAGUAGUC